GACUGGGCCGGGGGCAGGGAGGGAAGCAUGGAUCGGGCCGGGGAGGGAAGCAUGGAUCGGGCCGGGGAGGGAAGCAUGGAUCGGGCCGGGGAGGGAAGCAUGGAUCGGGCCGGGGAGGGAAGCAUGGAUCGGGCCGGGGAGGGAAGCAUGGAUCGGGCGGUGGUGCGGGCGGUGCCUGGGGAACCCAAGCUGAGUAUCUCCCUGGAGCUCGGCGGGACCCGGCGGAACCUGCAGCGGGAGCAGAGCGAACCCCUGGGCCGGGCCUUGGCCCGUAUCGCCGCCUCCGUAGCCAAAGGCCGGGACAAGGGCAAGAAAGGGCGGAAGGAGCCGCGGGAGGAGCCGGUUCCGGUGUCACUGACCUACCUGGGCCGGGAGGUGCCGGAGGGAGAGCCCAAUGGGUCGGCCUGGCGGGAGGGGUCGGUGCUGCAGGUGGGGGCGGCCCAGUACCUGGUGGAGCGGAACCCCCCGGCCUUCCUGCACUUGGAGCUGCCCCGGGUGGUGCUGGUUGGGGCCCCGCUGUGCCCCCGGCUCUGCAUGGAGUUCGGGCGGCCCGACCUGUCCCGGUUCGAGUGGCUCAGACAGGGGGAGCGGGGCUGGGAGGGGGCCGGUACCGGCAGGCUGUACACCCCGGGGGAGGCGGAGCUGGGACUCAGGCUGAAGCUGCGGGCGGUGCCGGGGGACGGGACACGUUGGGGCUGCGCGGCGGAGGCGGAACCGGAGGGCUGUGUGGAGGCCGGGCCGGGCCGGUACCUGAGUGACGGGCGGAUAGUUCUGACCCGGGAGGGGGCGGGGCCGGGGCGGUUCCGGACAGUCUCAUACAAUAUCCUGGCUGAGGUGUAUGCCCGGACCGAGCUCUCCCGGGAGGUGCUGUACCCUUACUGCCCGGCCUGGGCCCUGCAGGGCGGAUACCGGCACAGCCUGCUGCGGAGAGAGCUGAGCGGGUACCGGGCCGACAUACUGUGCCUGCAGGAGGCGGACAGGGAGGUGUUUGAGGCGGCCCUGGGGCCCCUACUGGAGCAGCUGGGGAUGGAGGGCCGCUACCGGGGGAAGGAGCGGCAGCAGGAGGGCCUGGCCACAUUCUAUAGCCGAGACCGGUUCCGCCUGUUGGGGCAGCACGACAUCUCCCUGGCCGGGGCCCUGCUGGGGGAGCCCAGACACUCCGAGCUGCUGGGCCGGCUCUCUCGGUACCCGGGGGCCCGGGAAAGGGUUCUGAAGAGAUCCUCCGCCUUACAGGUCUUGGUUCUUGAGUCCAUAGAGGAGCCUUCUAGACGUAUCUGUGUGGCCAACACUCACCUGUAUUUCCAUCCCAAAGGAGGCCACAUUCGCCUGGUUCAGAUGGCCGUCGCGCUGGCGCACCUCGGGCACGUGGCCAAUGAACUGUACGGAGGGAUUCCCGUGGUAUUUUGUGGAGAUUUCAACAGCCUCCCCAACACGGGGCUGCACCGCUUUGUCCAGGGCGGGGCUAUUGCCGAGGAUGAUGAAGACUGGACAUCCAAUGGGGAGGAGGAGCGGUGCAACAUGGCGCUGACCCACCCCUUCAGCCUGGCGAGCGCCUGUGGGGAACCCGCGUACACCAACUACAUCGGGGAGUUCCACGGCUGCCUGGACUAUAUAUUCAUCGACUCCCGGCAACUCGCGCUCGAACAGAUCAUUCCGCUGCCGAGUCACGAGGAGGUCACCCAGUACCGGGCCCUCCCCAGCGUCGCCCACCCCUCCGACCAUCUGGCGCUCGUCUGUGACCUAAAGUGGACGUAGCGCCGACGUUCUGCUCAUUCCUGUACGGCCAAUAAAGCCAUCCCAUAAUAACCACAAUAUGUAUCAUUACCUUGUUACGGGAUAAAGGGGCAACUGCUGGACCUGAAAGGGCAACUUGAGCCAAAAAGGGCUUUUUUUUCUGACAGGGUUGCAUCAUAUGCUGAGUGACCAACUGCAGGACCUGUAGCAGCCACUCAGCAGUGAUUUCUGGUCACAUGUUUGAAAGAACACAUUUGAUUGGCUGUUCAGGCUGACUGGGCAGGGUAUGAAGAGAUCCUGCCAUUGGUCCUGCUGCAGUUUUAACUCUCACCAGAGGUGGCGCCAGGUGACAUGGUUUCAGCUGAACCCCUGGGGGGAACAAGCAAUAAAUAAAUACCACAGCUGAUGUGCCCAGUUAUUGCCCUGCCCCAGCGCUGGUCCUGUAUCAGUGAGACCCAAAUCCACUAUUGCCCCUACUUGAUUUACAUGUUACCCCCUGCACACUCAUCCAUUGGGAUCCUAAUCACAGGUUCUGCCCCCUGCUGGGCAAUAUGGUGCUGACACUGAGACACCAAUGAGUAUAUUUAUUGUAGGAGGAAAUGUCGCUCUGUUCUGCUGCCCCCUGCUGGGGCAAUAUGGUGCUGUGAGACCAAUGAGUAUAUUAAUUGUAGGAGGAUAUGUCACUGUUCUGCUGCCCCCUGCUGGGGCAAUAUGGUGCUGAGAGAGACCAAUGAUUAUAUUAAUUGUAGGAGGAUAUGUCACUGUUCUGCUGCCCCCUGCUGGGGCAAUAUGGUGCUGACACUGAGAGACCAAUGAGUAUAUUUAUUGUAGGAGGAAAUGUCACUCUGUUCUGCUGCUGGGGCAAUAUGGUGCUGAGAGACCAAUGAGUAUAUUUAUUGUAGGAGGAAAUGUCACUCUGUUCUGCUGCCCCCUGCUGGGCAAUAUGGUGCUGAGAGAGACCAAUGAGUAUAUUUAUUGUAGGAGGAAAUGUCACUCUGUUCUGCUGCCCCCUGCUGGGCCAAUAUGGUGCUGAGCCCAAUGAGUAUAUUUAUUGUAGGAGGAAAUGCCACUCUGUUCUGCUGCCCCCUGCUGGGGCAAUAUGGUGCUGAGACCAAUGAGUAUAUUUAUUGUAGGAGGAAAUGCCACUCUGUUCUGCUGCCCCCUGCUGGGGCAAUAUGGUGCUGAGACCAAUGAGUAUAUUUAUUGUAGGAGGAAAUGUCACUCUGUUCUGCUGCUGGGGCAAUAUGGUGCUGAGACACCAAUGAGUAUAUUUAUUGUAGGAGGAUAUGUCACUGUUCUGCUGCCCCCUGCUGGGCAAUAUGGUGCUGAGAGAGACCAAUGAGUAUAUUUAUUGUAGGAGGAAAUGUCACUCUGUUCUGCUGCCCCCUGCUGGGCAAUAUGGUGCUGAGACACCAAUGAGUAUAUUUAUUGUAGGAGGAAAUGUCACUCUGUUCUGCUGCCCCCUGCUGGGCCAAUAUGGUGCUGAGACCAAUGAGUAUAUUUAUUGUAGGAGGAAAUGCCACUCUGUUCUGCUGCCCCCUGCUGGGCAAUAUGGUGCUGAGACCAAUGAGUAUAUUUAUUGUAGGAGGAAAUGUCACUCUGUUCUGCUGCCCCCUGCUGGGCAAUAUGGUGAUGCUGAGAGACCAAUGAGUAUAUUUAUUGUAGGAGGAAAUGUCACUCUGUUCUGCUGCCCCCUGCUGGGGCAAUAUGGUGCUGAGACCAAUGAGUAUAUUUAUUGUAGGAGGAAAUGCCACUCUGUUCUGCUGCCCCCUGCUGGGGCAAUA